rnacentral:lncRNA from 1 species
GGGCCCCAAUUUAUUCUCUGUGGCAUCUGUUAUACCCUUCUCAGUUUGAAGAUCGUGUUCCUUGUUGGAGAAGAAAGAAGCAAUUGAGUAGCUCUGCCUUUUCCCUGUUAUCAUUUAACAGGAUCUUCUCUAAGCAGUUAGCUUAUACUUGCCUUCAUCUUCUUGCUUUACACUGUGUGUGUGUUUUCAAAGCCCUCUCUGUGGCUCCUAUCAUCUAGCAUUCUGCAUGACCUUCUGUCACCUUCUUACAGUUUUGGCUCCCGUCAACCUGGGCGCUGGCGUUCUGACACACUGCCUGAGCUCCCCCUGCUGGCCUGUUUGCAGAAUUUCAUCAUCUGUGUCCAAAGUGGAAUCAGAUUACGCACCGUGUUCAGCACUGAAGAUAGCAUCAAGAACGAGACAGUCUCCGUCCUGAGGGAGCUCACAGUCCCCACAGCUUCCUAAAACACCUGUUUUCUUAAAGCAGUUGCUAAACCUUUCUGCAUCUAGAGCUGUAAAUGCAGGGGGAGAAAUCAUACCUAAUUUGAAACUUAUAGUAAGAAUUAAACUGAAUCACAUAAAUAAAAUGCACCGG